GGUCUCGUAGUGUAGCGGUUAACACGCCUGCCUGUCACGCAGGAGAUCGCGGGUUCGAUUCCCCGUCGAGACCGCCA
rnacentral:tRNA from 1 species